AUGGAUUAUUUGCAGCUGAAUGAGUUCAAUGCACCGAAGUGGCGUUUAAAAGAUGCCAGUGAAGCAGAGACAGCCACGGGCCAUCCCACUAAACAUGGGGGGCAUGGCAGAGGUCGGGGCUGCCAUCAUCUCCACCGCCCCCGCUGGGUCCCCCGAAGGGACGAGGCCUCGCUCCUGGGGACAGGGCGCGCUGGCAGCAGCCACCAGCAGAUUUCCAGGGGCAGGAGUUGCUUAACAGCAGCCGUGCUGCACAGCUUUUUUUGCAGUUCCGCUAUUGAACCAUGCCUGGGAGGUUGUGCUUAAGGAAGAUGAGGAUCUCUUCUCCGAAGAGCAAGAUGGACAUUGGAGAUGGACUUGUUCCUAGUGUCGCUUCUUCGGAGGUCUCGAAGAAAACUCGAUUUAUUUCGGGAUUUAAGCGAGAGGCAGAACUUGACCCUGAAGUUCGCGUUGUGCUGACUCUUGCUCCUCCAGCAUCCCCCAAAGCCUGAUGGCCGCUCGCCGGCAGCUAAGGUUCGACCGCCCCGCGGACACGCAGCCGUGCCGAGAGGAGAGGUGGGAUGCAGGGGACGGGCGGUGUGGUUGGGCUCGGUGGCAGGAGGGUCCCCAGGUGACAGCAGAGGGACGCGCUGCAGCUCCCUCGCUGCCAGUGCUUGUGGGCCAGCGGUGGCACCGCUCUGUGCCUCAGUUUCCCUGCCUGUGUCAAAGGAGCUCAGUUCUGGCCCUUCGCAGGGGAAAACACCCUUGGUUCCUGGUGGCUGAGGUGUGAGUGCCGGGUGGGGAAAGCCCUGCGGUGCCAGGAGAUGGCACCAUCCUCCCAGCAACCCGCUGCGUGCGCCCAGAGCUGGGGAAGCCCCCAGGCUGGGCUGUCAUCCUGUGCCCCCCAUGGCUUCUGGCUCUGCAGCCAGGCCUGAAGCUGCCCAGCCUGNNNNNNNNNNNNNNNNNAAAAAAAAAAAAAAAAACAUAAAACCUCUGCCUCCUGCUAAACCUUACCCUGGGCUGGCGUCCGAGGGACUUUGCAGGAGGCCAAAGAGUUCAGGGCAGCCGGGGCGAGCAGGUCACCCCCGAGGCCACGCUCGGUUCCCUUUUCAGUGGAGCGGGACUUACAAAAGAGGAAUCGCAGACCUUUGGGAAGUGGCCUUUCAUGUCCUGCCAGCCACCACGGCUCAUCUGGCGGCUGUUUUCUGAGGAGCAGCCCCAGCUUGCGGCGAGCUGAGCAGCCCUGCCAGGUCCUUUUCUGUCUUUUAAUUUCUGUUGUUAGGUGCUAAUGGUGUCUGGGGGCGCAAAUAGGAGAGAAAUGGGAAUU
rnacentral:lncRNA from 1 species